rnacentral:tRNA from 1 species
GGGUAUAUAGCUCAGUGGUGGAGUGCAUGCAUGCACAAGGUCCUGGGUUCAAUCCCCAGUUCUUCCA